AUUGAACGCUGGCGGCAUGCCUUACACAUGCAAGUCGAACGGUAACAGGUCUUCGGAUGCUGACGAGUGGCGAACGGGUGAGUAAUACAUCGGAACGUGCCCAGUCGUGGGGGAUAACGAAGCGAAAGCUUUGCUAAUACCGCAUACGAUCUACGGAUGAAAGCGGGGGAUCGCAAGACCUCGCGCGAUUGGAGCGGCCGAUGGCAGAUUGGGUAGUUGGUGGGGUAAAGGCUUACCAAGCCUACGAUCUGUAGCUGGUCUGAGAGGACGACAGGCCACACUGGGACUGAGACACGGCCCAGACUCCUACGGGAGGCAGCAGUGGGGAAUUUUGGACAAUGGGCGCAAGCCUGAUCCAGCAAUGCCGCGCGCAGGAUGAAGGCCUUCGGGUUGUAAACAGCUUUUGUACGGAACGAAAAGCUCUGGGUUAAUACCCUGGGGUCAUGACGGUACCGUAAGAAUAAGCACCGGCUAACUACGUGCCAGCAGCCGCCGUAA
rnacentral:rRNA from 1 species